rnacentral:snRNA from 1 species
GGAUCUUAGUGCAACCUGGUUGUGAGCUUUGUCACUCCAUUGAUUUGCAGUAUUGAUUCGGGUGUUCUGGCUGGCUGGGGGAGAGGGUCCCUUCCUCUGUCAGAGCUCCAAGUGUGUCACUGCUGAAGCUACACCCUCAGGCCAAGAGGGCAACCACCCCAAACAGAAGACCACUUCCUUGGUCAAGUUGUAAGAGAAGUGGAAUUCCCCUCCAAGAAGUUCUCAAGAAGAAAGAAAAUAUCCUAUCACUACAUGAUAUGUAUUAUAUAUGUUAUAUGUGUGUGUAUGUGUGCAUGUAU